rnacentral:lncRNA from 1 species
CCGCGCGUGCCCCCUCAGGCGGCGCGCGCCCCCUCAGGCGGCGCCCGGCCCUCGCGCUCCAACGGUCGCUCGAGGCCGGUUGGGCGCCUCAGCCGGAGCCGGCAGCAUCCCUCCCGCGGGAUAGGGAAGGCCCGGCACAGACCUCUCUGCCUUGGCCGCCUGUCCCCUCCUUAGCGCCGGCUGUCCCGUGGGCGGCCGAGGAGAAGCGCCGCAUCUCCCGCCGGGAGCACUGAGAGGAAGGGCUCAAUAAGCAAAGAAAAUACCCAGUGUAAAUGUAUUAAGAUUUCCGAUGAAAUCAAGAAAAAAGAGUAUUCGUACAAGGUCAAAAAAAGAAGAAAGUCUUUCAGGAAAGAUCAAACUUAUGAUUGAUGAGCAGAUGGAUAUUUUAAAUGAUGACAUCUUUAAUACAAAACUAGAAAGUUUAAGCAGAAGAGUUGAACAAGUACAAUGCAAAAAAAACCAUGAAGAAAUAGCUAAAGCAUUCCUAAAGAAAGUAUCAAAACUUGAGAGACAUAUUAAUGCUGCAAUAGCCUUUCAGGAGAAAGUGGCUGCUCAUCAGACAAUCCUUCCAAGUCCAGACUAUGAAAAACCAGUACUAAACCAGCUUGGACCUUCUGCUUUCUGUCCUGAGGUCAUAAAUACACCAAUAAAUUCCUCAAGUGCACUUUCGCUGUCACCUAACACUGGUUUCACUUCAGCAUAUGUUUCAGAAUAUAUAAGUUCUGAUGAAGUCAUACUGGUCUCCGUGGAAAAUAAAAAUUCAGCAACUGAAAAUAAUUCAGCUAUUCCAAAUAACCAAAUGUCUACUCAAGCAGAAAUAUCAGCAACAGUUCAGGU